UGCGUAACGCGUGGGAAUCUGCCCUUGGGUUCGGAAUAACAGUUAGAAAUGACUGCUAAUACCGGAUGAUGUCUUCGGACCAAAGAUUUAUCGCCCAGGGAUGAGCCCGCGUAGGAUUAGCUUGUUGGUGAGGUAAGAGCUCACCAAGGCGACGAUCUUUAGCUGGUCUGAGAGGAUGAUCAGCCACACUGGGACUGAGACACGGCCCAG
rnacentral:rRNA from 1 species